GGCCGUUUUCUCACCUCCAUCCCGAGGGCUGCGAGGCAGAAAGCAGACGCAGGAUAAGUAAAUUGGUGCUGGUGAGUCGCCUGUUCUGGAGGAGAAGUACUGUGAACAGGCCACGGGGUCCCAAGAGAAGUCUGGGUACUCCAAGAUGCAAUGGAAAAGGAGCAAGUCAGCGAAAGGAGGAAAUAAAAGCCACAGAGAUCAACAGCUAAUUAAUUGAUGCUCCUAAGAUAAUAUUCAUUAAAGUCCAGCUCCCCUGCCCUUUGGGGACUGAUGUCUUCCCUACCUCCUGUCCAUUGCCCUUGACCACCCCUUCCCGAUCUCAUCUGCCUCCUUUCUUGUCUCCCUCCCCAGUUUUAUCCUUCCUCUAAUCCAGCUACCUGAGUAGACUUUUAAAGGCACAAGUCUCACCAAGUCUCUCCUGCUUCCCAUCCUCAUGACUCCUCAUCGUCCAGGAUAAAGGACUCCCCCAAGACUCUCCCAAGACCAGCAAAAGACCAUUCACUCACUUUGCACAUAUUUCCUGAACACCUGCUAGGCACCGAGCUCAUGUUGCAUGCUGGGAACGCAGCCUUGGUGGAACUCGCAUUCUAAUGGAGACAUAAACAGAGACAUUG